rnacentral:snRNA from 1 species
GUGCUCAUUUUGGCAGCACACAUACUAAAAUUGGAAUAAUACAGAUAUUCACAUGACCCCUGCACAAGGAUGACAUGCAAAUUUUUGAAGCAUUUCAUAUUAAA